UGGUUAACAAUUAAUUGCGCUUUUAACUUACUGAUCUGAGUCAUUUUUGAAAAUGUAUUAUUGCGUUCCUAUAAUUUUUUUAUGCAGCCAAAAAUCACCGGAGCAGGAGUAGAGAAUCUCAUGUGUACAAAUCAAACUUUUAGCUCACGUAUAAAAAUCACAGUUUUCGAAAAGCUUAUCCACCGUUACGGUUCCCUGUACGGCAAGUGUACGGAUAUUUACUUACGGGUCUUUACGGCGAACAAAUGAUCGAACCCAAUCAAAGCACCCAUCAAGUUGACAAAUAUGGCCAACCUGCUGCGCAAAAGAAGAGCAUAGAGAAAUAAUAAAGCAUAGGCGGAUUCGCACGCAAGCGCCUAUGGUAUUAAGCUUUCGCUCAGCGGAGCCGACAACUAAUUAACUCCUUGUCAUGGAUAUUUGGGAAAGGCAUAUACGGAAACAGUUAGUCUAUAUUUAAGCUUAAGAACUUAGCGUGUAACUAUGCUUGAAAUUGUCGGCCUUAAAAAAUAAAAGCACAUUAUAUUCCAGUAAUAAGAGCAAUUUCUUCUCCACGCCGAGUACGCCGCCGUCUUUGUUCAACUCUCGCUAAUUUCACAGUAAUUCUAAUACUGUACACUUUCAGAUAAUAACAGUUCAAGAACCUAACAAAAACUACCCGUUGGCCGUAGGUAAAUGAGUGUUUGGGAAAUUUUGAUGGUCGGACAAGUUGAUGGUCGGACAAGUUGAUGGUCGGACAAGUUGAUGGCUCACCGACAACAUUGUGGAGGGUAAAUGGCUUCGGUUGGCCAGCGACAAUUGCCUGAACGAUGACUACGCCUGCGGGAGCGGAGAAUUCGACCACCUCACCUGGUAAAGAGUACCCAACACCCGGAUCGAACCAGACCAGUUCGCCCUAAAAAACCACAACAUCAACCGCGAUAGAAGAGCAUGAGACGAAUGUGCUCGAUCGCUGGUAUCUACACAAGUUGGGUUUUGCGUGUCCAGUAUAUAUAUUUAUCAAAAUAAUGGCAGCGCCAUCAUCUCGCCUGCUUCCUCUCCCGCUAUCGGCAGAGAUUGAACCAUUUUUCGUUUGUGGCGACCGUCUGCUCCGAGAGGAUUUUUGUUGAUUGAAACUUGACAAGUUGCAGCUAGAAUACAGCACACGCAUUUUCAACAGGCCUAAUAUCAAUUCACUAUUUUUUACUAAGUUUCUGUAUCUUUAGUGUUUGGGCUAUAAUUCUGUAAUCCAUCACAUACGCAAAGCCAGUUCUGACUGAUAGAACCUUCAGACUCUAAAUGUUGCUUUCGUGAAAAACCCUUCUUGGUUGUGGCGAUAUGGUUCUGUCCUUCGUGUCCCGACGUCCGGUUAUUUCCUCCUUGGCCUUUUACACUGCAAUUUCCCUUCUUGAAAUGUUUGCACCAUUUGUGUACUGUGUCCUUGCCUAGGGCCAAGUUUCGAUAAAUUUCCGCUGUGUUGUGACCUUCGAGGAAGAGAAAUUUGGCAAUUGAGCGUUGAUUUUCGAAAUUGAAAAAGGUUUCUCCUUUUAAACCCAUUCCACUUUGAGUAAAUUCAACCACUUUCCUAUAACGAUUUGCUACAAGUCUAGCCAAUCUGCUAGUGGCGUAGUUCAAAAUAUACUGAGGUUCUAGAUACCUGCUAGAUUUCUUAUGAAUAUCUCGUAAUUUGGAAGGCAGUUUAAUCACAACUUCCCAGAAUCAAGCAGUAAGAUUCGAAAGGUACCUAUUUCUGCAUUUAAUGGAGGCUCAACCGAGCCGUAUGCCCAGCAAAUUUCUGCUGAUUACUUUCGCUGAGCUAUUAUUUAACACUAAUUAAUUUCAUCAGUAAAUCAACAGUGGGCCGUUUAAGUGAAUCUUGUCAAUGAUUGAUAACUGGUACCUUAUUACUUUCGCUUUCAUUACUUCUUCGGCCCCCUUCGAAAACAUAUGCAGUGAACAUAUAAUAAGCUCCUCCAAUCUGGAUAUAACUACUAAUAGACUGCCGAAUCAUUAUCCUUUAGAUCUGCUAAGGUAUUGUUAUACGUAAACGUCUUGCAA